UUUGGUCAGUUUAACCUGAGAGUCGUGAUAGAAAUAUAACAUAAAUAUCUUAAACAUUUUGUUUUAGCCUGAAACAACUAUAUGCUCAUUUGCCAAUCUACUGAGAAAGCCAUGGCGUUUUCUUUGCACAAGUUCUGCUGAUUAGAGUUUUGUGUUGCAUAUCUUGCAUAAACUACACCUCUAAACCAUCAGCAAAGAUUUCCUAAGAUUUUAUUCCUUUAAGAGGAAAAUAAUUUAAAGGCACUUGCAGAGCUGAGUGCAGAUUUCUUCUUUAUAAUCUUUUAUUGUGAUCUCACACAUUCAAACAACUCACAGUUUGGGGGGUCUUUCCAGAAUAUUAAACAUUAGAUUUUAAAGAAACAAUGAAAUUUAUUUCCACACUAUUUCAUCGCUUUACAUAUUACUAAAUUAUGAAAGCAGAAUAACAAGUACAACUGGCAUAAACAGGUUUGGGAACAAACAGGUAACUCACUGUCAGAUUGUACUGAUAGCAGCAGAAGUAGACAGAUUCACGGGAGAGUAGUUUCCUCAUCAGCAUGAUGUGGGAAUUAGCAGUUUAUGAUUUAUAAAGGAAAUAGAAUGAGUUAAUUGGUUAGAGUUUUUAGUGUAAGUAGACUAAGAGAGCAACUACUAUACCUCUACAUUUUAAUUAUUUUACUGUGUGUCUGUCGCCAUCAUAGAGACGUAGAGCAUUCUGAGGGCAGAGAUAGUGCCUGGCUAUUAAAGGAAACUUUGGGGGAAUCCCUAAAAGUUCUUCUAUCACCAUAUAAAUCUUUAAUCUUCUUACGAAAACAAAUGAAAUUCUGAAAAAUGAACAGUUGUUUUUAAGACAUUUACAUUAAUUCAUGGGUCCCUCAAGAAAAGUAAAUGUAAUAUUGCACAUUUCCUUGUUAAAAGCUUAUAUUAAUUUCCUAAGACUGCCAUAACAAAUUACCACAAACUGGAUAGCUAAAAGCAAAAAAAAUGUAUUCUCUCGUAGUUAUGGAAGCAGAAGUCCCAAAUCUAGGUGUUCUCAUGACCGUGUUUCUUUCAAAGUGUCUCAUUUUUGUUGCCUCUUUAGCUUCUGGUAGCUCCAGGUGUUUCGUUCCUUGGCUUGGGGCUCCAUGUCUUGAGCCUCCUAUGGUCUUCUUAAUGUGCAUCUGAAUCUCAAAUCUCCCUCUACCUUUCUGCUGUAAGAACACUUGUGUGGAAAUAAUGGCCAACCAUAUGAGAAUAAGCAAAGAUUAUUUAUUCAGAGUUUGCUGUGGCAAGGAAGUCAGCCACCAUCACUUGUGGGUUGGCAAAGUAGGAAAGCUUUAUAGUGGAAAAAAAGGAAAUCUUCAAGUAUACCCUGAUUAGAGGCAAUUGGCAUGGGGAAGCUGUAAGUGGGCUAACUAGAAGCAAGGCAUCCUAUGCGAUUGGUUAAGUGUGCAUAUUUGGCUUUCUCUGAUUGAUCCCAAGAUAGAAGUGGUGACAAAAAUUAGGGAAGCUGUCAGUUAUUCAGCAAACCAGCAAACACUGGUCAUUUGGGGCCAGUUGUUACAGAAGUUUUUGUUUGGCUUCUAGAAUUGUUGUUAGAGAUAGUGGUCUGGGUUCCUACAAGCCUGGCUUAUAGACAGCAGGAUGGUUUCCUGGUCUGGUUACUGUAGGAAACAGGUUGGUUUCCUGAGUUGGUUGCUGCCAAUUGUAGGUCAGAAUUCUGUAUUUAUAUAUGGUCUGCCCACUGUUUGCAUAGCCCAUCUCUCACCUGUCAUUGGAUUUAGGGCUAAUCCUAAAUCCAGGAUGAUCUCAUUUCAAGAUCCUUAACUACAACUGCAAACACCAUUUUUCCAAAUUAGCACAUUCACAGAUUCUGGAGUUUGGAACAUGGACAUAUAGGUGUGGGGGCACCAUUCAACCUACAAGCUCCUCUUGGUUUAGAAAUCAUCCUUACUUACUUGUACACAGAGUAAAAAAAAAAAAAAACAAAACAAAAAACCUUGCUUCUUACUGUCCUGAAUGAAACACGUAGGUAGGUUGUGACUGGAUUUCAUCAUACACCUAUCAUUUCUAUUUGAAACAGUUGCCUAGCUAUCCCUUAAAGCUUGGAUUCAAGCUGCGGAUCAAUCUUUGUAUGUUUACACUUUAAAACAAGACAUCUUGGUAGUCCAUUACUAGCGGAACAUUCAGAGAAAUCUCACCGUUUGUAGAAAGCUAGAAGCAGGGUGGUUAAUGUAUUAAUGUUGCCUGUAUUGUCUUUGAUAGGAAGGUAAGGAACACUGCAAAUCCUGGUUUUUUUCUUUCUGUUUUCAGCAUCCUGAAUACUUAAUCACAUUGUCUAGUCAAAGAAGAGAGUAAUGACUACUCUUAGCAGAUCCCAACACACUAGUAUAUAAUAGGCACAAAAAAAGGUGAAUCAAAAAGGGGGAAGAGACAUAGAAGAAUGUCAGGCAACAAAGAAAUGAAGAGUCAAGGAGUUCCUGAAGAAGCUCUGGCUAACCGAGGCACAUCUUCAUUAACUGCUGCUGUAGAGCAAGUUGCAAAGCAACGACAAUCACAAACAUCAGAGAUAGAAAAAAAUAAAAAAGUUCUAUUCCAUUUGCAGGAUGAACUCCAUGAGCUUGAAAAACAAAUAGCAUCUGUCUCUACAGAAACUAAAGAAACAGAAAGGCAAAUUUAUCAGCAAGAUGCUGCCAUCGAGAAUACCAAACUACAGUGUGGGAACCUGGAAACUCAAAUCAAAUCCUUACAUACAGAAAAUGUAAAGCUUAAAUUUGACAUAGAAGAAGCUCAAGAAGACUUUGAGGAACACAUGAUAAGAUAUAAUGAAUAUUAUGCAAAAAUAAAAGAGCAUAAAGAUAGUUUGUGGGAGGCUGGAAGCAAAAGGUCAUUCAUGACUACACUCCAUGAAAAACGAGAUCUUGUUAGAAAACUAAAAACAAUGAAAGAGGAACUUAUGCAAAAUCUCAAAAAUCCAGAAGGAAACCACAUAAAACAAGCACAGGAAGACAUUAUAAAGCUGAAGGCUAAAAUUAUAGCUGUAAAAGAAUCUAUCAUUGAAAAAACUUUCUUUCUUGAGGAAGAAGAAAAGACACAUGAAAAAUUAAGAAAAGAAAUAGAGGUACAACAUAAGAGAUAUAAUGCAAUUCUUAAGCGUUUGCAUUGUCAAGUGAACAAGCUUCAGUCAAAUAGAAGACAAUGGCAAUCGAACAUUCAACAACUGGAAAAAACUGCAGCUGAACUGAGAAAACGCAUUGGAAUGAAAUACUAACGUGGCUAAAGGGCAAUGUAGAACAUAGACCAAGCCAACGAAACAGAAAAUUCUUUGGAUUCUUAACAACCAGCAUCUACUACCAGAGCAAUGUAUGAGACUGCUUGCUUCUCCAAAGUCUUGCCAUCAGAGUACAUUGUCAAGCUUUUGGAUUUUUGCCCACAUGAUAAGAGAGUGAACUUUUAUAUAAAUUCAUUUUAAUUCACAUUUCUCUAAUAAUUGAAUUUGAGCAUCUUUCAUAUGUUCAAAGGCCAUAAACAUUUCUUUUUCUGUGAAUUCUUUUUAAAAUGUUUACCCCUUUAAAAAAUUAGAGUUGAUGGCUCUUCUCAAUUCUUUGAGACCUCUUGUAUAAGCAAUAAUAAUCCUUUGUUGUUGUUGUUUACUGUGGUAAAAUAUAUAUAACAUAAAAUUUACCAUUUUAACUAUUUUUAUGUGUACAGUUCAGUAGCUUUAAGUACAUUCACAUUGUUGUGCUGUUAACCAGCAACUUCACUCCCAUCCAUGUCCAGGACUUAUUCAUCUUCAACUGAAACUCUGUACUGAUUAAACAGUAGCUUUCCAUUCUUCCUCCCUCCUGUUUCUGGAAACUACCUUUCUAUUUUACAUCUCCAUGAAUUUGACUUCCCUAGGUACCUCAUGUAAGUGAA